GACAAGUCUCCUAAUAGCAUAUCUGACGGAAGGUGCGGUAUCAUUCAAGCCAUCAUCUUUAUCAGCUUCCAAUUUCAACCCACUUUCAUACAACUCCUUAUUGCCUUCAUAAGCAUUCUGAACCUUCUGCAACUCGGUUACUAGUCUUUCAACACCAGCUUCUCUUACAGAAGCAUCGGCAGAUGCCAACUCCUUGAAAACAUCAAUAUGGAAAGCAGGCACGGUACUAGAUGAAGCUACCACUUGUCCCCUCUUGGUUUCAUCAACUUUAGAAUCCACAUCCAUUGGUUUCGGCUUUUCUUGUUCAUUCUUCUCCGGGCCGC
rnacentral:lncRNA from 1 species